GCUGGGCAUGGUGGUGCAUGCCUGUAAUCCCAGCAACUCAGGAGGCUGAGGCAGGAGAAUCUCUUGAGCCUGGGAGGUGGAGGUUGCAGUGAGCCGAGAUUAUGCCACUGCACUCCAGCCUGAGAAACAGAGAGAGACUCUGUCUCAA
rnacentral:SRP_RNA from 1 species